rnacentral:rRNA from 1 species
UCAGUCGACUCCUACGGGGAGGCAGCAGUGGGGAAUAUUGCACAAGUCGGGGGAAACCCUGAUGCAGCCAUGCCGCGUGUGUGAAGAAGGCCUUCGGGUUGUAAAGCACUUUCAGUAGGGAGGAAGGUAGUGUAGUUAACACCUGCACUAUUUGACGUUACCUACAGAAGAAGCACCGGCUAACUCCGUGCCAGCAGCCGCGGUAAUACGGAGGGUGCGAGCGUUAAUCGGAAUUACUGGGCGUAAAGCGCAUGCAGGCGGCCUGUUAAGUCAGAUGUGAAAGCCCGGGGCUUAACCUCGGAAUUGCAUUUGAAACUGGCAGGCUAGAGUCUUGUAGAGGGGGGUAGGAAUUUCAGGUGUAGCGGUGAAAUGCGUAGAGAUCUGAAGGAAUACCAGUGGCGAAGGCGGCCCCCUGGACAAAGACUGACGCUCAGAUGCGAAAGCGUGGGGAGCAAACAGGAUUAGAUACCCUGGUAG